rnacentral:lncRNA from 1 species
GCAGAAGAGUAAAUGAUCAGAGUGGUAACAUUUUUAACCUUAUCUAUCAUACUGAAACAUUUUUUCUGCCUCCAAUAAAACAUGUCAGAGUCGAUUAAGGACAUUUUUCAAUGAGGUAUAAUUCACAGAUUUUAGUAGCGAAUCCAAGAGCAGUGAAGUAUUAAAGAGGCUGUGAAUACUUAAUUACGGAUAUGUUACCGUUCUACCUUUGCUUGAAUUCCCUUAACGCUCAGGAGCUCGCCUCUGAAAAUGCGCGUUUUGUCUGAUGGCGGAGUCGGAGGAGUAGCAGGUAGGAUGGCUGGGGAUGUGUCACAUUGUAUCGGGUGACAGGGCCGUGAAAGAUACAGCAGCUCAGUACGUUUGGCGGUGCUUAUCUGGUACAUGAGAGCACAUUACUUCCCAAAGCCCGGGAUCGCUUUGGACAGUAUCAUUAAAUGCCACGUCAUUACCUGUUAUAGAGCAGUGCUUCAGCUUCAAGGGCCUCUUGGGAUACGCUCAAGAGUCGGAAGAAUGAUGGGCAAAGAUGGAGCCGGCAUUAAAUUUUCAAUGGAAGCAGUAUUGGCUUUGACUUUUCAGAAGCCUGAUCUGUUAGAUGGUGUUUGUCACUGGGCUGCAGAGCUGUGGAUGUUCGUCAGUUGGAAGUUGCAGGCAGUUGAACGAUAUGGACAGAAUCAAGAAAGCUGCCCGUAUUGUCACGCCUCACUUCAGAGGGAAGAGAGAAGACGAAUCCCAUGGAAUAGCGACUCUGAUCAAAUCUGGGGGAGAUCAAAGCCCUCUGUAAAGAAGACCUGGUUGAAGGACGAAUAGAGAACAAGAGAACUUCCUGCACAGAAAUAAGCAUUUGAAAAGGUCUGCAGUAAGAGAAAACUGUGUUGUACCCAGGGAGCUCAAAGAAGGCCAGUGCAGCUGAAACGGAGAUGUGAAAGGGAGAAACGCCCAAAGAGGAGCUUCAGAGGUGGGUACCAGACAAAGAGGGGCCUUGUGGCCCAGGUUAAGACCUUGGCUUUUUAUUCUCAGGCAGAGGGAACUGAGAUGCACUGUGUGCACACAUGGGGACACAAACUUAUUUGUCUUUUAUUCUAAGUCGACUUUCCCAGGAAUCAGACUCUAAGCCUCAGAAAUUUGUGUGGGG